rnacentral:lncRNA from 1 species
CCGUCUGGGUUGUCAGUGCGCAGUGAUGUUGUAGGCCCGCGGGGUCGGCGACGGCAACAACCGUGGGCAGGAGGUGCCCACGGGUGUCACCUGUCCCCCAGUGGGUGGGCACGUUGUCACCGGCGGUGUCACAGUCGUCCCAAGUCGCGCUGUCACCACGACCAUCUCCGGUGUCACCGCUCCUUCAGGUUGCGACGUCCCCACGACCGUCUCCUCGGGUUGUGGUGGUUGUGUUGGCUUCCCAACCACCUUGGGUGUCAUGGCCACCUCUCCCGGUUGUAUCGUCACCAUGACCACUGUGGGUGUCACCACCACCUCCCCGGGUUGUGUUGUCACCGCUUUGGGUGUCACGGCCACCAUCUCGGGUGUCACCACCACCUCCCUGGGUUGUGUUGUCUUCCCAACCACCACAGGUGUCACGGCCACCUCUCCUGGUUGUGUUGUCACCGCUUUGGGUGUCACGGCCACCAUCUUGGGUGUCACGGCCACCUCUCCCGCCUGUGUUGUCACCUCAACCUCCCCAGGUUGCGUUGUCACCGUCUCCGCCGGCGCGCUGUAAACCUGAACGCUGACCACUGCCAACAACACCAGGAGGAGCCGCGUGGCCAGGCUGACUUCUUCCGUUGGGGGCGGCCGUCGCACCUGGAGGGGGGGCAACGAAGGGUUAACACACAGCUUUUCGGGAGGUGAAAAGCCUUAAAAUGGGGGACAAACGGCGUUACCAGGGGGAAUUCCCCCCAUUUUCGGCGACGUUCUUGGGGUUCGUGUAGAGGGGACCCAGCUGAGAGCAAAGCCAACCCGAGCCUAAUUAGCUGCUGGGGUUAAUGGGUUAAUAACCCCGCUCCUGCAGGGGCAACGCUGUCUGAAUUCGGGGUUAAAAACUCCCGAAACGAAGGAAAACGUAAUCCUUGAGGGGGCGAAUGUAAUUGUCUGGUGGGAAACCCCCCGCUUUUGGGUUGCUUCUGUGAGGUUUAAUGGGUUAAUAACAUCCUGAGGGGAAUGAUCGCCUUCAUUUUGGGUUAAAAAACCCCAAAAUUAGGGUAAUUAUCAUCCUUGAGUGACAAAAUGUAGUUUUAAGGGGAAAUUUCCCCAUUUCGGGUUCUAGUUUCACAGGUUCUAUGGGAUCUCUGUGGGGUUCUAUGAAAUGCCAGUUGUUUUCCCCCUAAAUACUGCUUCAAUUUGGGGUUAAAAGCCCUAAAAUCAGGGAAAAUGUAAUUCUAGGGGGAAAAGCAGCUCCAGUUUUAGUUACGAAAACCCUAAAACGGGAGAAAAUAUUACUUGAAGGUGGUAGUGGGGGGAACACUGCCCCAGUUUUGGGUUAAAAAGCAUAAAUGAUGAGAAAACAGAAUACAGACGGAGAUAUCCUGCUCUAGUUUGGAGGUAAAACGUCCUAAAAAGAGGAAAAAUGUUGUUCUAAAGGGAAAAUACCACCCCAGAUUUGGGUUAAAACACCUAAAAAAAGGAAAAAUGUGACUAGGUAG